AAGUCGUAACAAGGUUUCCGUAGGUGAACCUGCGGAAGGAUCAUUAAUAAUCCAAAUAUAUUAAAAUUUGAUUGAUACCUCUUUCUUUUGGAGCUUUAAAAUUUUUUAAAGUGGUAAUAUUAGAAAGGGCGAUAUAAAAUAAUAUAUUGCAGGGGGGAGAAGAGAAAAGAGGGAAUUUAGUUAAUAAAUUUACUUUCUUAGUAUUUUCUCCCCCAAAGGUGAUAAAACCUAUAUCUUAAAUCUAUGUAUAGCCACCUCUGAUUAUCUAUAUAUAUAUAGAGAGAGGGGGGGUUCAAUGCACAGAGGAUAGAAAUUUUACACUACUAUGUAAAAAUUAUAGAUACAACUUUUAACAAUGGAUCUCUUGGCUCUU
rnacentral:misc_RNA from 1 species